ACUCAAAUGAAUUGACGGGGGCCCGCACAAGCGGUGGAACAUGUGGUUUAAUUCGAAGCAACGCGAAGAACCUUACCAGGGCUUGACAUCUAGCGAAUCCUGUGGAAACACGGGAGUGCCUUUCGGGGAACGCUAAGACAGGUGGUGCAUGGUUGUCGUCAGCUCGUGUCGUGAGAUGUUGGGUUAAGUCCCGCAACGAGCGCAACCCUCGUCGUUAGUUGCUAGCAAGUGCAUGCACUUGUUAAGCUCUCUAGCGAGACUGCCGGUGAUAAACCGGAGGAAGGUGGGGAUGACGUCAAAUCAUCAUGCCCCUUAUGUCCUGGGCUACACACGUGUUACAAUGGGCGUGACAACGAGCAGCCAGCCGGCGACGGUGAGCAAAUCUCUUAAACACGUCCUCAGUUCGGAUCGUAGUCUGCAACUCGACUACGUGAAGUCGGAAUCGCUAGUAACCGCAGAUCAGCACGCUGCGGUGAAUACGUUCCCGGGCCUUGCACACACCGCCCGU
rnacentral:rRNA from 1 species